rnacentral:other from 1 species
UUACCCCUGCAAUGUGCGUGAUUGUAUGACAGUCUUUGUCCUAACGCAUAGUAAAAAGGGAGUCCACACUUAUACUGGUGUGCUAAGUUCCUAGUAAGUAAAGGAAAAGCCUAAAGGUAUUAUUGGACAACCCACCUUUUGAACCUUUGGUUCAAAGCCUUAACAAGCAACACGGCAGUUUGUGGGGGUAAC